CUCUGAGGGCUGGGGGUGUAGUUUAGUGGCACCUUUAUUACCUAUUAUGUAUGAGGCUCUAGAUUCAACCCCCAAUAACCUAAGAAAAACAGGAAAGGAAGGGAGAGAGGGAAUUCAUUCUACAUGGAAGGACGAUUGCAAGUUCAAGUCUGGUCUGGAAAAUUUUACAAGAACCUACCUCAAAAAGGAACCGAGAGAAACUGAGAAUCAUUUCAAGAGAUAAUUAUCUGGAAAACAAGAGGGAAAUCUAUUAACAAGAAUCAUGGAUUGAACUCACGACUGUCUGCUUGCAAGGCAGGUGCUUAUGCCACUGAGGUAAAUCCCCAGCCCCUGUUUUUACGUUUUUAAAGACCUAUACAUCUAGAGGCUUGAAUAUAUAAAUAUACAUGAGGUUAACAAUAAACAUUUGUCAUAACCUCAUGAAACCUUUGUAUCAGAGCAUCUUCAUAUCAAAAAUAUUUUGUAUUAUUUCUUUUAAUGAUGACCAAUGUAAACAUAUUACAAUAAUAUUUAUAUAACUUUACUUGGGGUGUCUUCCAUAAGGCUAGGGAGAUCACUGGGGUCUCUAAUCAAUGAACAAGGGCUAGUAAAAUAAGAAAGGGCCACUUUCUUAUUCGUCAAUUGAAGUCCUGCCCAAUAAUCCCAACCCUAAGGGAUUUUUGUUUAAUCAUUUUUUUUUUUUUUGUCUUUUUCCUUUUUAUCGGUACCAGGGAUCGAACUCACGACUGCCUGCUUGCAAGGCAGGUGCUUAUGCCGCUGAGCUAAAUCCCCAGCCCCUAAUCAUUUUUUUUUAAUCGGUACCGGGGAUCGAACUCCCGACCACGCACUUGCAAGACAGGCGCUUAUGCCACUGAGCUAAAUCCCCAGCCCCUGUUUAAUCAUUUUUAUAAUAAUUUUUUGUUAGGGAAACUCCAGUCAUAGCAUUUAACAUAUUAUUUUUGACCAAUGAGAGACUCUCAAGCUAUAAGCAACAAUGUACAUUACAUUUACACAAGUGACUUUAGCAUCAUUUGGACUAACUGAGAACCCAGGUGGAAGCAAGUGUUGUAAUUGUAUAACUCAGAUAAACCUUGAUUUAAUGAUCUAUAAAUGCAAAAGAAAAAGAGAAAUUGCUGAGUUCAAAAUAAAAAGAACAGCUGUUCACAGACAGACAAACGGACACAUGGACUGACAAUCUGUACAGAUUCAAACAAAUGUAGAAACAAAUGCAGAGUUGUUAGUGUCCACAAAAACUCUCCAAGUUUCUGGGGGCUAUUUCAUGCCCCUUUGCUGAACUAGCUCGCUUCUUACACCAAGUGUCCUGGAGUCUGAAACACUUGUCACCUCCAGCACCCCCUUGCCCUCAGGAAGUUUUUCAGGCAUCCUGUGCCACCUGGGCAUUCCUGUCCGGGUGCUAUUGCCUUCAUUCCUGACUGGUGCUAUUGCCUUCACAUGUGUGAGUGAUCACUAGCUCAGCGACUUCCAAGAACAGCUUAACAGACUGGACAAACAAACAGGUACACACACAGAUUUACAAACAUCUUUCGCAAUCAGAGUGUGCUAAAAUAUAUUUUAGCCAAACUGAAUUACACAAAAAAAUUUUUUUUAUUACACAAAAUUUUUACAACUGUAGAAUUUGUCAUUUUAAGUGUACUAGUCACAUUUGUAGUAGGUCAGUUAGCAGAGAUCUCUUAUCAGAGAAUUUGAAAAAGACAAAAAUCUUAUCUAUAAUUAACAUAGUUUUGUCAUAGGACUUAGCACGUACUUUUAUCAUCUAUUUGGACCUUUUUUAUUUUUGGUUACCAUCUCCUGGGCAUCUUGGUCAAUUAAGGUUGUUCUAGCUUCAUCCUUUUCUAUGGGUUGUGGCCUGGGCUCUGAGGCAUCACUGUCUGAGGACUGAGCAUCUGUUUCUGGAGAGGUGGGAUCAACCCCUUUCCUGGGUUUGGGCCCUCGAUAUAGCUGGACAGCACACACUGGCACCCAGAUAGGCCAUUUAUCUUUUCCUGGAAAAACACAAACACACCCUCGACCCCACAUUGGCACUGGACUGGGUGCUUUUAUUGUCCAGUAUGAAGAUCAUUCCUGUUGUACUCUAGGAAAAAAUAGCUUUGUUAUAUGUGUAUUAUAGCAAAACCUGUAACGGAGCCUACUGUGUAUGUGUUUUCCUUUUCCCUCUGGAUGACUUAAUUGAUAUGUUAAGCAAUGCUCUUCUCUGUAAAGAAUUGUAAAAUCUUAGCUAAUUGAUAUGUUAACCAUUGUUGCUCUCUACAAAUAACAGAUGCGGUGCUAAGAUAAGCUAACAGGAGUUGUUAAUUACUCCUAGGCUUCCCCAUUCUCUGCUGAGGAAAACAGGAUUUCUUCUCAUCUAAACUUGCUUGUAUGCAGGGAGACUUGCUUGUUAGCACAACCCUUACCUGACCUUGCGCUCCCCAAGGAAUGUAAUCUCGCCAUAUUUUCUGUUCUGUAAUGCGCCGCACUGCCUUUCCCCUUUCCCAACCCGGUGUAGUCUUCAUAAAAUGUGCUAAUUGCGCUGUUCUUAAGAAAUGCUUAACUUCAAAGAAAUUACAAAAAAUGUUGUGGCUUAACCCUAAUGCACCAAAAGGGUUAAGUUCCAAAUCCUUGUAAAAACUUAAAUUUCAACUUCUUGUAACUUUCGACCCUUUCUCACAGGUUAGCGCUAACAAGCUGUCCUGGGAUAAUUAACUUUCUAUUUUCUUCCCAAAAUGUUAUUGCAGAUGUGCUAUUCCAAGAUAAUACUUAUCUGCAGGAUGGGAGUAAAUUGUAAGGUGCCAAAGGCUCCCAACAUUGUCAGAACUAAGUGGAAAGCUUUACAGUUUCCAGAUUUGGGGUCAACGGGCUGGAGAUUUAGCUCAGCGGCAUAAGUCCCUGCCUUACAAGCAGGCGGUCGUGAGUUCGAUCCCUGGUACCGAUAAAAAUCAAAAAGACAAAAAAAAAAAAACAGAUUUGGGGUCAACAGUUUAACAGCUCUGAGGGUCUCCUUUGCCCCUCCCCCCCCCCCGCCUUUUAAAUCCCUUUCUCCAGUCUCUGGCGCAUGAAGUCUCCAAAUUGGCUCCCGGAGACUCAUCGCCAGGCCUGGCCUAAAUAAAGCCUUUGCUCCCCAAAUUUAAUUUCUUGCUUCCUUGGAUUUUAUUCUGGGGUCUGAGUUACCACAUUGACAACUAAAAUUGAUUUAAGUAAGCAAAAAGGACCUCAAUAAAUGUAGAGUUACAUUAAUCUUGAAUUUAAAACAAGUACCUCUGUAGUAAACAAUUUUGAAAACACAAUGGAGUUUGAGAAUUUAGGUUACCCAAUAUCAAGACCCACUACAAAGCCAUAGGGAGACAGUGAUGUGCUGGAGCCAGCCUGAUCAGGCCUGCUGGAAGUUCUGAAUUUACAUGGAGUGGCCCAAUGAUCCCGUCCUGUACACUUUGGACAGCCCGUGGAAGGUUUGGCUGAAUGGAUAGUUAGUGGCUCAGUUAAGGUUAUCAGUGUGGGGGUCGGGCUGCCACCUUUUCCCUGCUUGGGGACCUGAUUCUGAAACAGUGCCUGGAGCCACUUCCCUUGUAAUCCUCUCAAGAAGCUUAAGGUUAUUAAUGUUAUGGCUUAACUCUAACCAGUGUGCCUCCUCUUAUUCUGUAUGCACCCAUAGGGUUAAGUUUCUAAUCCUUGUGAAACUUAAGUUUCAGCUUCUUGUAACUUUCUCCCCUUCCACAUGUUAUUGCUAACGAGCUGUCCCAAGAUAAUUAACUUUCUACUUUCUUCUCCACAUGUUAUUGCAGAUGUGCUAUUCUGAGAUAAUGUUUAUCCACAGGAUGGGAGUACCAAAAUGCACUAAAAGCUCCAGAUGUUAUCAGAACUAAGUCCACAGCUUUACAGUUUCCAGAUGCUGUCAGGACUAAGUCAACAGCUUAAAAGCACUGUGGGGUUUUCUUUCCUCUCUCUCUUGCUUUUAAAAUCCUUUUCUUCAGUGUCUGCGGCGCGCAGUCUCUGGGUCGAUCCUAAGGGGGCUGCAUCACCAGGCCUGAAAUAAAAGCCUUUGCUCCAAA